rnacentral:rRNA from 1 species
GCAGUAGCCGCGGUAAUACGAGGGGGGCAAGCGUUGUUCGGAAUUAUUGGGCGUAAAGCGUACGUAGGCGGCUUUGUAAGUUAGAGGUGAAAGCCUGGAGCUCAACUCCAGAAUUGCCUUUAAGACUGCAUCGCUUGAACGUCGGAGAGGUGAGUGGAAUUCCGAGUGUAGAGGUGAAAUUCGUAGAUAUUCGGAAGAACACCAGUGGCGAAGGCGGCUCACUGGACGACUGUUGACGCUGAGGUACGAAAGCGUGGGGAGCAAACAGGAUUAGAUACCCCGGUAGUCCCUGUCUCUUAUAC